rnacentral:lncRNA from 1 species
CUAAGGGAUAAAUACAUCUUCACAAAAACCGCUCCCGCUCAGGAACCCUAGAACAUUUGCCUACACAUUCCAAAGUGCAGCCCAUCCUCCUAACAGACAAAAACCUAACAAAUGUACAGCCUUGUGCUGAGCAUGGGUCUGGAAAGGGGAAGACCAAAGCCACCAGCCAUGACAGCAUGCAGAGAAAUGGAGCGCUGAGGCAUCAGAAGGGACUUCCAGGACGGUGGCAUCACGGUGGAGACAACAGCCAGGCUCCCCAGGAAGCAGACCGAGGUGUGAGGAGGCUGAUCAGGUGCCUGCUCCCGGGAACUUCCCCUGGGAACAUAGGGAAGCAGGGCCAGCGGGAUGCACCUGCAGCACGGGCCCCAGAGGGACAGGACGGGCUCCAGCGG